rnacentral:tRNA from 1 species
UGUAGAUCAGUGGUAGAGCGCUUGCCUUGAAGGUAUGAGGCUCUGGGUUCGAUCCUCAGCA